GGUUAAGUGAAUAAGGGCGCACGGUGGAUGCCUUGGCACUAGGAGCCGAUGAAGGACGGGACUAACACCGAUAUGCUUUGGGGAGCUGUACGUAAGCUAUGAUCCAGAGAUUUCCGAAUGGGGGAACCCAGCAUCUUUAAUAGGAUGUUACGAUUGUGUGAAUACAUAGCACAUUCGAGGUAGACGCAGAGAACUGAAACAUCUAAGUACCUGCAGGAAGAGAAAGAAAAUUCGAUUCCCUGAGUAGCGGCGAGCGAAACGGGAAAAGCCCAAACCAACAAGCUUGCUUGUUGGGGUUGUAGGACUCCAAUAUGGUCGUUCUUUCAGAUAGUCGAAUGACUUGGAAAAGUCAGUCAAAGAGGGUAAAAACCCCGUAGACGAAAUGUGGAAGACACCUAGGAGGAUCCUGAGUACGGCGGAACACGAGAAAUUCCGUCGGAAUCCGGGAGGACCAUCUCCCAAGGCUAAAUACUCCCUAGUGACCGAUAGUGAACCAGUACCGUGAGGGAAAGGUGAAAAGCACCCCGGAAGGGGAGUGAAAUAGAACCUGAAACCGUGUGCCUACAACAAGUCAAAGCCCGUUAAUGGGUGAUGGCGUGCCUUUUGUAGAAUGAACCGGCGAGUUACGAUUGCAUGCGAGGUUAAGUUGAAGAGACGGAGCCGCAGCGAAAGCGAGUCUGAAUAGGGCGUUUGAGUAUGUAGUCGUAGACCCGAAACCAUGUGAUCUACCCAUGUCCAGGUUGAAGGUGCGGUAAAACGCACUGGAGGACCGAACCCACGUACGUUGAAAAGUGCGGGGAUGAGGUGUGGGUAGCGGAGAAAUUCCAAACGAACUUGGAGAUAGCUGGUUCUCUCCGAAAUAGCUUUAGGGCUAGCCUCGGAAUUGAGAAUGAUGGAGGUAGAGCACUGUUUGGACUAGGGGCCCAUCUCGGGUUACCGAAUUCAGAUAAACUCCGAAUGCCAUUCAUUCAUAUCCGGGAGUCAGACUGUGAGUGAUAAGAUCCAUAGUCGAAAGGGAAACAGCCCAGACCACCAGCUAAGGUCCCAAAAUAUAUGUUAAGUGGAAAAGGAUGUGGGGUUGCACAGACAACUAGGAUGUUGGCUUAGAAGCAGCCACCAUUUAAAGAGUGCGUAAUAGCUCACUAGUCGAGUGACCCUGCGCCGAAAAUGUACCGGGGCUAAACAUAUUACCGAAGCUGUGGAGUACACCUUUAGGUGUAUUGGUAGGAGAGCGUUCUAAGGGCGUCGAAGGCAGAUCGUGAGGACUGCUGGAGCGCUUAGAAGUGAGAAUGCCGGUAUGAGUAGCGAAAGACAGGUGAGAAUCCUGUCCACCGAAUGACUAAGGUUUCCUGGGGAAGGCUCGUCCGCCCAGGGUUAGUCGGGACCUAAGCCGAGGCCGAUAGGCGUAGGCGAUGGAUAACAGGUUGAUAUUCCUGUACCCGUUGUUUUUGUUUGAGCAAUGGAGGGACGCAGGAGGCUAAGGAAUGCAGACGAUCGGAAAUGUCUGUCCAAGCAGUAAGUCUGAAGAGGAGUCAAAUGCUUCUUUUCUUAAGGACAAGCUGUGAUGGGGAGGGAA
rnacentral:rRNA from 1 species